rnacentral:rRNA from 1 species
GAUGAACGCUAGCGGCAGGCCUAAUACAUGCAAGUCGAACGGGAUUGCGGUAGUAGCUUGCUACUACUGCAUGAGAGUGGCGCACGGGUGCGUAACGCGUGAGCAACCUACCCAUAUCAGGGGGAUAGCCCGGCGAAAGUCGGAUUAACACCGCAUAACAUCAACAGUUCGCAUGUUCAGUUGAUUAAAUAUUUAUAGGAUAUGGAUGGGCUCGCGUGACAUUAGCUAGUUGGUAGGGUAACGGCUUACCAAGGCAACGAUGUCUAGGGCUCUGAGAGGAGAAUCCCCCACACUGGUACUGAGACACGGACCAGACUCCUACGGGAGGCAGCAGUAAGGAAUAUUGGUCAAUGGGCGCAAGCCUGAACCAGCCAUGCCGCGUGCAGGAGGACUGCCCUAUGGGUUGUAAACUGCUUUUAUCAGGGAAUAAACCCCUUUACGAGUAGAGGGUUGAAUGUACCUGAAGAAUAAGGAUCGGCUAACUCCGUG